rnacentral:rRNA from 1 species
UCUCCUAAGGCUAAAUACUCUCUAGUGACCGAUAGUGAACCAGUACCGUGAGGGAAAGGUGAAAAGCACCCCGGAAGGGGAGUGAAAUAGAACCUGAAACCGUGUGCUUACAAGUAGUCAGAGCCCGUUAAUGGGUGAUGGCGUGCCUUUUGUAGAAUGAACCGGCGAGUUACGAUUUGAUGCAAGGUUAAGCAGUAAAUGUGGAGCCGUAGCGAAAGCGAGUCUGAAUAGGGCGUUUAGUAUUUGGUCGUAGACCCGAAACCAGGUGAUCUACCCUUGGUCAGGUUGAAGUUCAGGUAACACUGAAUGGAGGACCGAACCGACUUACGUUGAAAAGUGAGCGGAUGAACUGAGGGUAGCGGAGAAAUUCCAAUCGAACCUGGAGAUAGCUGGUUCUCUCCGAAAUAGCUUUAGGGCUAGCCUCAAGUGAUGAUUAUUGGAGGUAGAGCACUGUUUGGACGAGGGGCCC